GUGUAUCUGCAUGUGUGUCAGGUAGUGUAUUUGUGUGUAUCUAUAUGUAGUCAGGGGGCCCAAGUAAAUGCUUGCCCAGAGUCCAAUCAAAAUUAAAGACGGCCCUGGUGAUGAGGAUAGUUAUUGCACACUAAUUUUACCAAUAGAAAGGGCAUUUUAUAGCCUUGAAGGAAUAGACUGUGUAAUCUAUGUCAUUAGAAUCGAAUGCUUAUCCUCUUGAAAAUCCUGCAUAUGAAGGAUUCUCUCCUAUUAUUCUAUUUAACAAGUGCAUUUCCAGGCAUUAUUUGAAGUUAAGUAACGGUUGAGUCUUUUUUUCUGAAAUGUCCAUACUGGUAAUAAUAAACUAUAUAUUUCUUUUUAUGAAAAUAGAAAAGGUGUUGACUGAACAAGAGUGGCUUAUUCCAAUUGGUGAUUAAUUCUGCAACUGUAGACACAUGUAAACAUCAGCUGGUGUUUAAUUGAGGGUUAAAAAAAAAAAAAAGCAUUACAGUGGGUAAAAUGGAGAUCUAAAAUGUGUUCUUUUUUCUGGUUUCCUUUGUAGUAGGCAAGCUUUAAAGGUUGUAAUGUUCCUAUGGAUUUCUAAAAGUAAUUUACUGUAAACUAAGUAUAAUUCACCUAGAGUAAACUGGGAUGUAGGAAUUUGGAGCAUUUGUUUUAUGGGUUGACUGAUGUUUAAUUUUACAGUUUUCCUAUAAUAAAAUCUUACUUGAUUUAAAAAAAAAAAAAAA